GUCGCUUGGCCGGUACCGCUAAAGAUGCAAUCACCGCGGUCGGCGGGUGGAAGAUGGACGAGUGAGCGGGACAGGUGGACAGGCCGCGAAGAGAGGAGAAAAAAAAAAUAAGGAGAAGAAGAAGAAGUGAGGGAUGUGGGAUUGGAAACGCUUGGCGCUCUCUUUGUCAACUCUCACUCUGAUGGGGAGGAGAGAGAACCGGCUGGCACGCAGAGAAGGAGCGGACCUGUCCACUCCUAGCCGGAGAGAAAUGGGCCUCUCGGACAUUACCACCUCUUCCCAGGGGAGACAUAAAUGAGAUGGAAGCGAUGGGGGGAGACUGCGAGAAGAAGAAAGCGGGCCAGGACAGUCUAAACACAGAGGGAGGGAGGAAAGGAGCCAUUGAGUGGACCGUUGGGUAGUGGCAGUUUUUGAUUUGGGCUAUAUUGGCUCAACGCCCAGGGCAACACAUUUGAAGAGGAAUGGAUGCCCCCACGGUUCUGCAACUCAAAUCCGUCCUUUUGGGAGGAACAAGCGCUGCUUGGAACCGCGCAAACACCAAGACAGGAAGAGAGAGGAGAAACCAAUACAACAAAUAAGCCCUGCCACAACACAACGCAACAUGGCUGCUCGUCGUCCCCAGGAGGUAGCACGGGGGGGGGGAGGGCCCCUCAGCCUGCCAGCACGGCC